rnacentral:rRNA from 1 species
AAUCGAAGCAGUGAACUUAAGCCCCAGUAAACGGCGGCCGUAGUCCUAAGGUAGCGAAAUUCCUUGUAGGGUAAGUUCCGACCCGAACGAAAGGCGUAAAGAUUUGGGCAAUGACGAAAAAACAGACUAGGUGAAAGUGGAAUUCCGGUGAAGAUGCCGGAUACAUGCGACAGGACGGAAAGACCCCAUGGAGAUUUACUGUAGU